GACGAACGCUGGCGGCGUGCUUAACACAUGCAAGUCGAACGGAGUGCUCCGGAAAGAGAUUUCGGUCAAUGGAUGGAGUUACUUAGUGGCGGACGGGUGAGUAACGCGUGAGGAACCUGCCUUUCAGAGGGGGACAACAGUUGGAAACGACUGCUAAUACCGCAUAACGCAUGGGUAUCGCAUGGUAUCUGUGCCAAAGAUUUAUCGCUGAGAGAUGGCCUCGCGUCUGAUUAGCUAGUUGGUGAGGUAACGGCCCACCAAGGCGACGAUCAGUAGCCGGACUGAGAGGUUGGCCGGCCACAUUGGGACUGAGAUACGGCCCAG
rnacentral:rRNA from 1 species